rnacentral:snRNA from 1 species
UUUAUGGACGUCGUGAGUGCUUC